AGUAAAGUGUCUGAGAAAAAAAAGAGUAAUUUUGAUAGAAUUAAAUAUGUAGACAUCUACCUUUACUA
rnacentral:tRNA from 1 species